ACGUAGGUGGCGAGCGUUGUCCGGAUUUACUGGGCGUAAAGGGCGCGUAGGCGGACUUUUAAGUCAGAUGUGAAAUACCCGGGCUCAACCGGGGUGCUGCAGUUGAAACUGGAAGUCUAGAGUGCAGGAGAGGAAAAUGGAAUUCCCGGUGUAGCGGUGAAAUGCGUAGAGAUUAGGAAGAACACCAGUGGCGAAGGCGAGUCUCUGGACUGUAACUGACGCUGAGGCGCGAAAGCGGGGGGAGCAAACGG
rnacentral:rRNA from 1 species